AAAAAGAACAAACAGAGAACUGCUAAUUCUUCUGAUCCAUAUAUAAAAAUAUGGCUUUUUU
rnacentral:tRNA from 1 species